rnacentral:rRNA from 1 species
GCGGUUAAAAAGCUCGUAGUUGGAUCUCGGCGGGCAGGGGGUGGUUCGCUCUUCAGCGCUACUGCCCCGCUUUGCCCGUGUGAUUGGCGGAGGUUUCGGGGUGCUCUUCGUUGAGUGACUCGGAGCGCCGUCAGGUUUACUUUGAAAAAAUUAGAGUGCUCAAAGCAGGCUUUUCACGCUUGAAUAUUCGUGCAUGGAAUAAUGGAAUAGGAACUCGUUUCUAUUUUGUUGGUUUUCGGAAAUCGAGUUAAUGAUUAACAGGGACAAUUGGGGGCAUUAGUAUUCAGACGACAGAGGUGAAAUUCUUGGACCGUCUGAAGACUGACUACUGCGAAAGCAUUUGCCAAGAGUGUUUUCAUUAAUCAAGAACGAAAGUUAGAGGUUCGAAGGCGAUCAGAUACCGCCCUAUUUCUAACCAUAAACGAUGCCAGCUAGCGAUCUGCCGAGUUUUUUUUGUAGGCUCCGCANGAAGCUUUCGGGAAACUCAAAGCUUUUGGGUCCGGGGGAAUAUGGU